UACAGGGGGGGCAAGCGUUGUUCGGAAUUACUGGGCGUAAAGCGCGCGCAGGCGGCUCUUCAAGUCAGGGGUGAAAGCCCAGAGCUCAACUCUGGAACUGCCUUUGAGACUGAAGAGCUUGAGUACGGGAGAGGUGAGUGGAAUUCCCAGUGUAGAGGUGAAAUUCGUAGAUAUUGGGAAGAACACCGGUGGCGAAGGCGGCUCACUGGCCCGUUACUGACGCUCAGGCGCGACAGCGUGGGGAUCAAACAGG
rnacentral:rRNA from 1 species